GAAAGGGUCGUUCGACCCCCAAAGGGGUCGCGGCCCACAGGUUGAGAACCGCUGCCUUAGAGCUUCCCCAGCGUGUCCAGUGCACAGAUCUAACAACGGAGGCCCAGAAGUGGCCAGGCUACAGCAAGGCAUGCUGGAGGACAUGGCCCAUGCCAGUUUCAAAUCAGACUGUCUAUUUGACCCCAUACAUGCUGUAAGCAGGCACCAGCUUGGCCCAGCGCCCACACCCUCUAAACCGUGGCUGAUUGACCCAUUCAUGCCCUGGCAGAUGA